AAACGUUAGCAUAGAAGAAAAAAUGAAGCCUCUAAUAAACAUAUGGGACAUACCUUCUCAUUUUUUUUUGUCAAUUUAGGUGGCUUUUGCAUUUAGCUCUGUUCCCUAAUUUGUCAAAUUUGGCACAUCCUCAUUUUCUAGCUUCUCUCUUCUAUUUGAAGAGUUGCCAAGUCAACUAUGAUCAAUGGAGAAAUUGGACAAGCCUCGAGCUUUAGUGGUGAUAAUAUCAACUUAACUAGUUCGUUAUAUAACGAACACAAUUGGAUUCUAAGCUAGUUAUUUUGUUAAAGAUAUAUAUGAACCGCUCAUAUUUAUAAAUGCGUUAACGAUUAUUAAUUUGGAUGUAAAUUUAUAGAGAUAAUUUACUCAUGUAUACCUUAAAAUUAGACGAUCUUUAAUCUUUAAUUUGGAUAUGUGAUCGAAAAGUGAUUGAAACAAAAAUUCUCACCUUAGUGGUCCUCCUGACUAAAUGCAUAAAUAAAUUGACGAACAGUAUGCCAGUAUUUAAUGGUGAACAGUUGAAAAAGAGGAAGAAAUGAUCUCGAAUGUCAAAGUAUACAUGUUGCAGCCAAGUGCAAAGUCAACAAUCCCAUUCAAACAACGCCUUCGACCCAUCGUCCAUUCAAACGAUCUCUUAUAUAUCUAUGUCGAUCCUGGCUUUGGCCUAUUAUCCUUACUACCACAGCAAGUUUGCUAGCAAGAAUUUUCUUACAAGAAAUGGCAGGAAGUUCUAUGAGGGCUGCUCUGGUGACUCUGUUCAUCUUCGCAAUGGUUCUGUCUCCGAUUACAACCUCCGAGGCUGCUCGGUUCACGUUUCUAGGUAAUUCCCAGAUACCAUCAACAGUAUAACGUACACUGACAAAUGUUGUUGUUUUGGAUUGGGGAAUGUUGAUCUUGAUUUUUAUUUUAUUUUUGCUUUGCAGAUACAACUCCCAUAUGUCCUGCUUGUGUUUGCUGCGCACCUCCACCGCCGGGCUCUUGCUGCGAUUGUUGUGCCUCACCGAUUGAAACUCAGUCCGAGCAAGGGUCUCCAUAGGACAGCAAAUAUGUUUGUCAUGAAGAAGAGUACACGUAUAUGUAAUUAUCUAUAAAUAAUGGGGUUCACGGUGUCAGAGAAAAAGAACCAUCAUUUGUAUGUAGAAAGUGAUGACAUGGUUGUUUCAUAAUGAAGCAAUAAGAUUAAUUAAGAUUGUAUAAGGAUUAUUGUAUCCUUACACAUGUAUACUUCAAACAUAUAUUUCUCUUUAUACAGUAGACAUAUUACAAAUUAGUGAGAUAGUUCUAAUCAUCAUAUUGGUUCUCAUCCUAAUUAGGGCCGGGUUAACUUCAUAUAAACCCAAUGAUUUUUAUACAAAAUAAGACAACAUUAAAUUACAAAAUUCUUACUACAACCAAACACUUAGAGAGUCAAAAUAGAAGGCUUAACCAGCUGCAAGAGGAAGGGAUAUGUCCCAGGCUUGCGUUCCAAGUUGAUGUUCCAACUUUGCAAUAGCUUCCGCCACAAAAAAGUUAGAUUCCCGAUGAACAUGUGUGAAAAAAACUUGUCCAAUUUGAGAGGCAAAGAAAAUGAUAUCUUUGACAAGAACUUGAAUCUUUCAAGGGGAAAGACACGUACCAUUGAUGGAUUGAUAAGGAUUUGUGAAUCUCCUUCAACUAUAAUUUUUGGAUAACCAUGGAUCAAGGCUGCUAAUAAACCCGUACACAACGCAGAAGGUUUAGCAGUAAGUACAUCAUUAUUUUUAGUAGAUGCUAGAAUUGGUUGACCAUCUGCAUCUCUAAUUACAAACCCUGAUGAGGCAGAGUGAUUCUGAACGGAUCUGUCAAAAUUGAGUUUAAGUGUCUGAGGAGGAGGAGCAUGCCAACGAAUAGGCUUAAUAAACCUAUAAGAUUUCUUAGUGUAAUAAGCAUUAACAGUAGAAUAAUAACAAAAAAAAAUUCGUUGCAAAGUAAACAACAUUUUCAGGAUGGACGACAUGGUUUCUAAAUAAAUAAAUGUAAGAUCAUUUCUUGCUUUCCAAAAACCUACCACUAAGGUCCCAAACCCGGGUCCAAGAAUGAGUACGUGUGUGCCCAUAGUCUAAAGCCCAUCUCAUCCCAUCUAAUUAAGCCCCAAACAGCCCACAGUGGAAACCCAAAUGUGCUAUGGACACCCAAUCUUGCCUUGUUGAUGUCCUUCGAUAACCGACUGACUUGGACGACGACCACACCCGAUCGGUUUGGAAAUGCAGCCACAACACCACUCGUCAGAGAACGCCCGUAGCGUACCAUGAUUUAUUGACAUAGAAAGAAAAAACGUUAACAUAGUAAGAAAAAAUGAAGCCUCUGAAUAAACAUAUGGGACAUACCUUCUCAUUUUUUUUUUUUUUGUCAAUUUAGAUGGCUUUUGCAUUUAGCUCUGUUCUCUAAUUUUGUCAAAUUAGGCACAUCCUCAUUAUCUAGCUUCUCUCUUCUAUAUGAAGAGUUGCCAAGUCAACUAUGAUCAAUGGAGAAAUUGGACAACAAGCCUCGAGCUUUAGUGGUGCUAACUAGUUCGUUAUAUAACGAACACAACUGGAUUUUAAGCUAGUUAUUUCGUUAAUGAUGUAUGAACCUUUCACAUUUAUGAACACGUUAAUGAUUUUCAAUUUAGAUACAAAUUUGCAGAGAUGAUCUACUCAUAUAUACCUAAAAAC
rnacentral:lncRNA from 1 species